rnacentral:lncRNA from 1 species
CAUCCAAGUUUCUACGGCGGUCGACCACCUUCUGGGUUUCAUCCGGGCUCCUACGGGAGCCGGACUUCUUCCCCGAACUCCUACUGCAGGUAGACUUCGUCCGAGCUCUUACGGGAGCCGGACUUUAGCCUUGAGCUCCUAUUGCAGGUAGACCUCGUCCGAAUUCUUACAAGGGCCGGACUCCGAGCCCCCACCACAAGUGAUCUACACCGAGCUUCUG